ensembl:lncRNA
UUAGAGACAACCACUCGGAAAACUGUGUUCUCUAAGUUGGGAGACAUAGAGUACCCGUGCCUGAUACACAUAUGAGGAAGCUUAAUGUGGCUCUGGACACGGGCCUGAGUUCCACCUGGGACAUCCAGACAGUAAGAGAAGGCAUUGACUACUUGGGAAGGGAGGCAGGGAAAGACUGCUCCUACAGGAUCAUCCAGAUUCCCAGAGUUUUGUGGGGCAAAGAUGUGCAUUCUCAGGGACUGAUGGCUUGGACUGUACCAGAUCUUGCCCAAUAGAGCCCUCUGGAGCAGACUGAGAUCUUUUGCAGAAACAAACUGAUGUGGAUCUGUUAGUGAACCAUACUUGGAUUGGCUCAGCUGCACACAGUAAAGCCAGUCUACUGGUUGUGGUGAAGGAAAGUGCAGCAUUUACCUCAAGGAGUCCAGAUUAGCUAGUGCUCAAAGCACCUGAACUCCCAGAUUUUUGUCCUGAGAGUAACCUGGGCCAGAGAACACAGAGUCCAGAGUUUUAACAAUUAAACAAGAUGAGACAUUCUAGUUACUGAAUUGAAAGUGUUUGUUUUUGUUUUUUUUUUAACCAAAAGUGACUAUAGGAUUUUAUUUUCUGAGGGUGACCAGGAAAGAUGUGUCUAUCUAAGACUUCAUUUAGGAUGGUCAGGCUGGAGAAGGUGGCUCAUGACUUUCUCUCCUGAUCAGAAGAGAAGAGAUUUGACAAUCCAGUUCACCAGCAGGGCAUAAGACUCAGAGGGCUGGACUUGAGAAAAGAGGAAGGAAGACUAGAGACAGAUGUCUGAGUAAUCAUGGAACCAUGAGAGGACAAACGUCUGGCAAAGACUGAUCUUCAGAGUAUUUCAGAUGAUCUCUGGGGAUAGAGGUGAUACCAUGAGGGAGCAGGCACAGAAGGUAAACCUGGCUUCUUGCCCAAGUUUUGUUUCUGGCCUUCUCCAAAGCAAAGGAGGGAUCUGGGAUCUGUUUGCUUUCAACUUUAGACUCCAUUAAAGUUCUACAUUUUUCCAAGUAACCUAAUAUUUUUUCCUUAAAAG